ACACCGUUAGCUCAGUUGGUAGAGCAUCUGAUUCCAAAUCAGAGGGUCGGGAGUUCGAGUCUCUCACGGUGUG
rnacentral:tRNA from 1 species